AUACGGAGGGUGCGAGCGUUAUCCGGAUUUAUUAGGUUUAAAGGGUGUGUAGGCGGGAGCCUAAGUCAGUGGUGAAAUCUCACGGCUUAACUGUGAAACUGCCAUUGAAACUGGGUUUCUUGAGUAUAGUUGAGAUAGGCGGAAUGUGUAAUGUAGCGGUGAAAUGCAUAGAUAUUACACAGAACACCGAUUGCGAAGGCAGCUUACUAAGCUAUUACUGACGCUGAUGCACGAAAGCGUGGGUAGCGAACAGGAUUAGAAACCCCAGUAGUCC
rnacentral:rRNA from 1 species